UGGUAGCGCAAGUGGUUAAUAUAUAAUAAACUGUAAUAUAUACGAGUAUCGGCAAAUAGCCGCCCAAGUCUUUUUACUGCUGCGGACGCGUGUCGGCAUAUAGUCGUUCGAAUCUGUUCCGGACAGUUAUCUUGAAGUGGCAGGCGUACGUCUAUUUUUCUAAGCGAUAAUCUUAUGCAUAUUUACGCAUGGAUAUAGUUAACUAAACAGUAGUAUUAUGUUUUUGAUAAAAGAAAAUUAUAGAUCUUUAGAAAUCCUCGCGAUGCAGGAUGAUAGUCGAGACAGAACGAAUUUCAAUCUUUCAAUGACAUUGCCAGAUGAAUCAGAAAGCUUUUUAUAUAUUUUUUAUAAUACCUUAUGCACGAUGCCUAAAAGUUCCAGAAAGAAUAUGUUCGUUAGUGAUAGUAGUGAUGACGAACAUUAUUUUGAACCUGACAAGAAGAAGACGACGACAGUGCUUUAGACAGUAGAAACGAACUCUGUUCAACAAUGAAUCGGCUCAGACGUUUCAAUAUUUCUAGUAAUAGUGACAGUGAUGAUCAACUAAAUAUUGAUGAAAAUGAUACAAGUCUCGACAAUGAAUAACGUAAACGUUCAACGUAUAUAUUUUCUCAACUGCGCGCACCAAUACCUCUCGUCCACAGCGAUGAUCGCUCGUCGAGCGACCCCGUCCGCAAAGAAUUAACAUUAAAGAAAUAAAAUGAUCUUAGGCCUAAUUUUUCUACAAUAUAGGUAUUAUUAAGAAGAUUUAUUUAAAUUGUUCUUAUUCUUAGCACAAUUGUGAAGGAUUCUUAAUGAAAAUAAAAAGAGUAUUUAUA